CACGUAGGCGGCUUUGUAAGUUAGAGGUGAAAGCCCGGAGCUCAACUCCGGAAUUGCCUUUAAGACUGCAUCGCUAGAAUUGUGGAGAGGUGAGUGGAAUUCCGAGUGUAGAGGUGAAAUUCGUAGAUAUUCGGAAGAACACCAGUGGCGAAGGCGACUCACUGGACACAUAUUGACGCUGAGGUGCGAAAGCGUGGGGAGCAACA
rnacentral:rRNA from 1 species